AGCUUUGGACUAUUACUUUUCUUCCUAAGUGCUAAAUAUUUCCUGUGUUUAUGUGAGAAAAAUGAAAGCAAGUCGGGAAUUGUGCGUAGGAUGGUUGGCGGUUCGCUUGCAGAAAAAGGCCAAUUACUAUUCUUAGUAUCCAUAUUCGAAAAAAAUAAAUUUCGUGGUGGGUUUUCGUUAAUAACACCGAAAACAUUAGUUGGAGCAGCGCAUAUUAUAGAUAG